GAAUAUUGAGAGAAAUCUAUCAAUUUUUUUUUAAUAAACGGUCUGGUUUACACUAAAAAGAAAUUGCGGGUCAAUUUUAAAUGUGUAAUCUGAAAGGACUGUGUAAGGAAACUCAAGGAUGUGAGGACGCAAUCAUCAAACACGCGGGACGAGGAUUCCGGCGCCGCAACGUCGAAGCAAAAACAAUGGAACCAUGACUAUCCAAGGUCGAAACACAGCGAGGCGUGCGUUCAUCAUGAGUAUGACAGUCCUCUGGUUGAUUAUCUGUUGAAUUUAUUAAAUCAUUCAUGGCUGAGAUAUUAUUAUCCAUCGAACUGGUAAGAGCUCUAAUAGGUCUCGAUUGUACCUGGAAGGCAAAUUAAGUAAAUAUAUCAACAUUCACCAGGCAAUGCAUAGUAUGUAGUAUUCCUAGGGUGAAAAAUGAUGCUUUUCUAAAGAGGGUUUUACACUUUUUGUACACCUUGUACCACAUUUUCAUGAAAUGACAUCGUGGAAAUGACGAAAUGCCUUGCCUCUGUUAAUUGUUAUUUCAUUUGUAGAUCUUCAAACAGUAGAGGCUUUUCUGUCAUGUUACUAUUUUACUUCAUUCAGAAAUGGAAUAGGAACUAGGGUGGGUGAGGUUUAUGCAGACAUACCGACUGAUGUGUGAUCUUGGUAACCACUUGGGUUGCUUGAAUUAUUUCAAGAUCAAAAGGGUCGAAACGGUUUCCACUUUCUCUACUCUGUUCCAGUAUCGGGGUUUCAGAAACGACUUCAUGAUCCAAAACAGUCGACGUCUUCAAUGGAGUUGUCACUGCAUAAUAUUGAGAAAUUACAGUAGUGAUCAAUAAUAAUGGUUUAGACAUGUAUGAUAAAUUUGAGUCUAAGAAUUCCAUUAAACCACCUUUUUCUGUCUUCUGCUGCUGUGGCUUCUCUGGUGGUGUCAUUAUUUGAGUUUGAAUCACACCCUGUGAUUUUAACUGAUUUCAGAUUGUAUUACAGAAUACAGAUUCAAAUGCUGUAAUAAGCGAGGAAACUCAAAUCAAACUUCAGUAUAGCUUUAUCACGAGACUAAAUAGAAAAAAGUAUUGCUUAGAAAUCGAGGCAAGUUCAAUCAAAUUGGCAAAGAAAAAUAGAAAAUCAAGCAAGGGAACAAUGAAGCUGAAAUCUCUGCUAAUAGAGAUGAUUUUUUUUUUUUUUACAGGAUCGAAGGUGAAAUUAAAUGAAGAAUAAUAUUAUAUUUUCAGUACAUUUAGUUAAUGUAUUGUUCAAUUAAACUAUAAAUUGAAGAAUGGUUGCACAAAAAAAAAAACUAUUCCUUUUUCAACAAAGAGAAUAGAAAAAUGAAACCCAUAAAUUAAUGAAAAAAGUAAUGGAGACUGUCCAGUUAUUUACUGAAGUUAUAAAACUAUCAUCAAAUAUACUGAAAAUACUAAACAAAACCCAUAAAUCUGAGAUUAGUACGUGUUUCUUCCGAGAAAAUAAAAGAAAAAACAGAGAUGAAUGCUGCUCUGUUUAUUCAAAACCGUAAAGUUAACACGAAGUAGAAUAUUUCAAAUAAUGAAUGCUGAAAUCAAAUGAAAUUAGAAGAAUUAAACGAAGAAUGAUUAACUACGAAAUUUGGGAAUUUUGAUGCGUGUUUAAUCAAAAGAAUUGUAGGAAUUUGUGUAAAAACAGAGGGUUUCUUUUCAAGAACUCUUUUAAGUUGAUAAAGAAUCAAACCCAGAAAAAAUAUUCUACAAACACAGAGAAAAUUACACGAAUUUAGUGGGCUUGUUCCAGAUUCUUGAUCGAUAGUAUUAACAAUUGAAAAGUUAAGCAAUUACAGAAGAACAUAAAAAUGGGUUUUGAGAGUUACACGAAUACACGACGAUUCUUCGAAAGAAAAGAAAACCUUUACCUGUUUGUUAGCAAUGGAGAAGGAUGUUCUCUCACGAGAAGAAGAAGAAGAAGAAGAAGAAGAAGAAGAAGAAGAAGAAGAAGAAUGAAGUGCCGUGGGGCUGUGACAAGAAAUGGGAGGGAAGGAGUUUGAAGCAGGGCCUUUUUAAACUAUAUGAUGAUGCCGCCUAAUUUAGUUUAACAGACUAUAUAGUACCCGACGGUUUAUAUCUAAAUGUUAUUCAUGAAAUUUAAACUAUAAUUAUAUAUAAUCAUCAUCUAAAUAUAUCUUAACUUUUCUUUCGAAUUAAAAUUAAUUAUAGAUAGAUUUGUUCUACCCUAUUCAGUGGCUUAUUUAUAAACAGUUAAAAUAAAUAAUGGUACACGUAGAUAAAAUUAUUUUCAUCUACAUCAAUUAUCCGCGUCAAAUAUAAAGUAUUUCAUCGAUCUGUGUUGUUUAAUUCGAUAGUCAUACCCACCUAAUAUUUGUCCAACCAUUUACCUUAUCACUUAACACCUACCUCUACCAUCUAAUUUAUUCUGCUAGAGAUGGCUUCAAAGCGGGGUGGGGCGGGUGCGGAUGAUAUUCUCCCCACUCCGUUACCGAUACAUGUAUUCACAACCGCCUAAAACCAAAUAGGCCCAACAUCUUUUAGUUGGAGAGUUUUGAAUUUCAAACUUUAUCAGUCUAGUAUAAUAAUAUGUCUUCAAGUUUUGUGCAAACUAAUAUUUUGUCAUUAGGUUGUGCCUUUGAUCUAAUAUUUACCAAUGCAUAAUAAAUUGUUCUGUAGAUCAAAGGAACUCAUACUUGAAUCUGUUGGAACUAAUCGUGGAUUUUAGGAUACAGGGACCAAACUAAUGGUACAAAAACAACCUGAUAUGCGCACCAAGGUUCAAAUGAUUUAAUGUACAAGUCCCUAUGCUGCAGAUUCCUGUCGACCUAAAUUCCAUGGAAAAAAUGCAUAUGUUCCAUUGUUACUUUCUUGGAGUAUACUUUCUGGAACUUUAUAUUUGUCAUUAUUAUGCUUAAAUUUAUAUUUAUCUUAAACUAACAUACUGAUCAUACUACUGCACAAAAUGAUUACACUUGGGUUUUGUUUAACAGAUUUAUCAUCCAUAAGAAAAAUAUGAGAACCUCUCACAAGGUGUUGAAACAUUCAAGAUCAGAUAAACAUAUCUCUCAUAACCCAAGUAAAGGAACACCUCAAGACUCUCAACUAUAAUUAAAGAAAAAUUCUGACUUUGAGUCGAAUAUGAGGAAUCAUGAGGAUCCAAGGUGGAAACACAGCGGUCAGCGAGGCGUGCGUUCAUCAUGAGUAUGACAGUCCUCUGGUUGAUUUGGAGACCCAUAUGAAUUUAUUAAACUAUUUUUGCCUUCUUUGCAGGUUCAAAAAUGUUUCCACAAACGACUCCAUGAUUAAAAACAGUCGACAUUUUCAUUGUAGAAUAUUGAGGAAUCUCAGUAGAGACAUUAGAGCCGUCAUGUGAGCUCAAGAAUUCC